CGUACGGGUGAGUAACACGUGGAUCAUGCACCUUUUAGUGGGAAUAACUUUGGGAAACCGAAGAUAAUACCGCAUAAGCCCGAGAGGGGAAAGCAGCAAUGCGCUGAAAGAGUAGUCCGCGGCUGAUUAGCUAGUUGGUGAGGUAAGAGCUCACCAAGGCUUUGAUCGGUAGCCGGCCUGAGAGGGCACACGGCCACACUGGCACUGAAACACGGGCCAG
rnacentral:rRNA from 1 species